UGACGCCCGUCUCUCUUUUAGGGUUUCUACAAGGGAGGCAAAUUCGUCUUCAGCUUUAAGGUCGGCCAGGGCUACCCCCACGACCCCCCCAAGGUGAAGUGCGAGACGAUGGUCUACCACCCCAACAUCGACCUGGAGGGCAACGUCUGCCUCAACAUCCUCAGGUGGGCCACCAAACCCCCCGGGGUGGCCACCGACCCCUGAGGUAGCCACCGAUACCUGA
rnacentral:lncRNA from 1 species